CGCCAGAGCACAGCCCCGCCUCUGGCUCGGAAGUACGUGGGCAAAAUCCUCGCCGCCGCCACAACAAUCGCGGGCACCAACCUAUCGAAGUGGCUGCGUGGGUCCUCGCUGACGCCCAAGGGCCAAUCAGAGGUUUUAUUGACUGAUGAAAACUACAUCAUUGUCAGCCACCAGCUCCACGGGGACAGGGAACCUGAGAUGAUGCCAGAUAAUCAGCCUGAGAGCAAACACAGAGUUCCGGAAGGUGACCCAAGAGGGAGAAGAGAGAGGAAUAUGUGAAAAGCCCCGCCAGAGUGUCCAGCUCCUGCAUGCUUCCACGGCUGACCGAGGCAGUGGAGUUGGCAAGGCGGAUGGCACGGCGCUUGGCCCUACGGGGGCAGCAAGAGGAUAACAGGCUGCCAGGCCCCACUGGCUGGGAGGACACGGAGGUGCUGCGGCUGGUGCGGCCACCCAGCGAGACCGCACCCAGGGCCUCGUUGAAGGCCUCACCGUUGUCUUCUCUAGACAGUGCAGCAAGUGGUGAUGUUGUUUCUCAAAAGCAGAACGGUUCCUGACACACAGGGCCUGUUCCUCCCCACUGCCGCUGUCCUGGAGUGGAUGGAGCAGACAAAUGAGGAAGGCAUUGGUGGUGCCACUCUUUGCCAACCGGAUCCUUGCUAAGCGCACCUUCUACAGAGAGGAGAGAAAGAGUCAGAUGCGGCUGAAGUUAGAAACAAUGACUGGCACAGGCAGAGCGAUGACCAGGACACCACUGAGUGAGCAGAUGGAUCCGAAAAUCUUGCCAGCAAUGGUACUGGGCACCAUGUCUCCAUAUCUGGGGCCAGAGGAGAGGGGAAACAGGCCCAGAGAACACAAGGUCAACAGAAAGAAUACAGCUAAGACAAUCCUUGAACCCAAGUCAUUGUCAAAGCUGGGUGGGAUUUGAAGAUGAGUCCAACUCCCUCAGUUUCUACAGACGAGCAAACUGAAGCUCAAACAGAUCAUUUACCUAACCUUCUUUUACAGAAAAGCAUAAAACAUGACAGUGGCGAAGAUGAUGAUGGCCAUGGUGAGGGAAAAGAGGAGGAAGCCCAGCUCAGAAGCACAGCUCUUGAGUGUGUAGCCCAAAAUUCGCAAGCCCUGCGAGUGCCGGGAAAACUUGAAGAUGCGGAAC